AUGUGCUGCGAGCGCCGAGCGCCGCCAAGGAGGGGGCCGGCCUGGCGCGCGCGCGCCGGCCCACGUGGACCGGGGCCGCGCCAGGCGCGCGUCCGCCCGGGGCCCGGGCCGGGGGUCACGGAAGGUAACGGCGUCGCCGCCCGGGCCCUUCCCCGCCCCCGCCCCCCGCGCCGCCGCCGGGGUCCCUGGCACGCGCCCCCCCCCCCCCCCCCCGCGGGCGCGGCCUUCCUUUCGCGCGCCCUGCCCGGCGGGACCCCGGCGCCCUGCUGCGCCGCGGGCGGGGAGCGCGGGCGUGCUCGGGCGGCGGCACCUCUCCCCCAGCACCCCCCCCCCCGGCCGGGCGCGCGCGGGGCCCCGGGGCCGCCUCCCUUCCCGCGGCGCCCCCCGCGCGGGGGCAGGACUGGGCGAUGGGGAGGGGGGGGCGCGCCGGGGCGCAGCUCGGCGCCCGCCCCGGGCAGAACAGGUUCCUGCCAGUUUGGGUGUGAGCUGCGCGCGCGGCGCCGCGAACCCCGAGUUCCUCCUCCUGCGCCCACUUCCCCCCGUUUCGUCAACUGGCGCCUGGUUCCCCCGUGGGGGGUGCGGGGGAGGGGGUGCCGCAGCGAGCCCCGGACAGCCAGCCAGCGGCGGGGCUGCCCCGGGAGCCUUGCUCUCCCCGCGGCGGCGGCGGCGGCGGCGGCGGCGGCGGCACCGGCAUCCGCGCCGCGCGGCAGGGAUGGGAGCCGCGGGCUGAGUCAGCAUCGGCGCUCGGGGCGCGCGCAUCCUCCCUCCCCGGCGGCUGGCGACGCGCGCACAGGUGCACGGCCGCGCGGUCCGCGGAGAGCCCCGGGGCCGGAGGGGCCGGGACGCCUUCGUGCCCCCCAUCCCGACAGCCGCGACCCCAAGGUCACUGUGAACUCCGCAGACGACGCCCGGGAAGCCGGUUACGAUCUAGUCACGGGGACAAAGCAGUGUGUCGUGUCCCGGGCAUCCCCGAGCCCGCGGGGGCGCAGACCGGGCUUCCCGGUCUCCACCUCACCUUCCCGGGGCCAAGUGGACACCUGCUCGGAAGCAAGGGCCUUGUUCUCCGCGUGUCCCCGCCGACUGGGGUGCGGGUUGCUGCCUCCAUUGGGGUUGGAGAAAGUGGUUCUGAUGUCAGAAACUCCAGGGAGCCUACUUUGGGAGCGCGCGCGCGCGCGCGGGGUCGCCAUCGGGAGGAGUCGGGGAUUUGAGUUUUAA
rnacentral:lncRNA from 1 species